rnacentral:lncRNA from 1 species
UUUGAAAUUUAUCUUAUUAUAAUAAAGAUCAUAUGCAAGUGGUCUUUUGCCAAAAGAAAAGGUGAAGAAAAAAAAAAAGUAUUUCCCGGUAAAAGAUCACAUAGAUCUUUUUUUUCAUUGGUAUCAGAGCUAUUGAUACUUGAUGCUAUUAGUUAUCUUUUCCUUUAAUGAGUUUUGAUGAUGCUUGGGAAUGUGAUAUAAGAAAACUAAUGACCUUUGUAGUCAAUAAAUAUAUCCAUGGUUAAGAAUUAUUGAAAUACUCCAACACCGAAAAGGCACUCUGUAAAAUAAGUAUUCUUGGUUAUUUUGGAGUAGUGAUAUGAAUAAGAUAAUGAUGUAUUUUUCUAUUACAAACUUCAAUGAUAUUUUGUGUAUGUAAGAG